rnacentral:rRNA from 1 species
GACGUAGGGCGCGAGCGUUGUCCGGAUUUAUUGGGCUUAAAGCGCACGCAGGCGGUCUGCUAAGUUUGGAGUGACAGUUGGUGGCUUAACUGCCAAAGUGCUUCGAAAACUGACAGACUUGAGGGCUUCAGAGGGACACGGAAUUCCGGGUGGAGUGGUGAAAUGCGUAGAGAUCCGGAGGAACACCAAAGGCGAAGGCAGUGUACUGGGGAGUACCUGACGCUCAGGUGCGAAAGCCAGGGGAGCGAACGGG